rnacentral:rRNA from 1 species
GAACGCUGGCGGCGUGCUUAACACAUGCAAGUCGAACGAUGAAGCCCAGCUUGCUGGGUGGAUUAGUGGCGAACGGGUGAGUAACACGUGAGUAACCUGCCCUUGACUCUGGGAUAAGCCUGGGAAACUGGGUCUAAUACUGGAUAUGACUUCUCAUCGCAUGGUGGGGGGUGGAAAGAUUUAUUGGUCUUGGAUGGACUCGCGGCCUAUCAGCUUGUUGGUGAGGUAAUGGCUCACCAAGGCGACGACGGGUAGCCGGCCUGAGAGGGUGACCGGCCACACUGGGACUGAGACACGGCCCAGACUCCUACGGGAGGCAGCAGUGGGGAAUAUUGCACAAUGGGCGCAAGCCUGAUGCAGCGACGCCGCGUGAGGGAUGACGGCCUUCGGGUUGUAAACCUCUUUCAGUAGGGAAGAAGCGAGAGUGACGGUACCUGCAGAAGAAGCGCCGGCUAACUACGUG